ensembl:lncRNA
GUAAGAUGCGCGCCAUCCUCCUGGGCUAAGAAAUGUCGUUCCUUCGGCCUUAAUUAGUAGGAAACCCUUCUUUCCAAGUUUUAAUGAGCACUUGUUCUCUAGAGCAGUCACUAGGUGGUCCCCAUGGGCCAAGACCUGGAAGAACUGUUCCCAUACAGUUGGAUAGCUUAUUGUACUUACCCCGGAUUAAUAAGAUACUAAGAGUCUCAUGGUCUCCAGGUCUACCAUAUCAGAAGGUAGAAAAGGCCUCCCAUGUAAACCUUAAAUGGACUCAACCCUGUUUUUGGUGUUUUGAAUCACAGGGUUAUUGGCAAUAAUCGGAGCCAAGACUCAGUCUCUUGGCAAAGUUUUGUCAGUUUGCUUUAGGGUCUAGCUGGCCCUCUUGACUGUUCUGGAGGACUGAGAUCUCCAUGGAGAAUAGAGACGGGAGAUAGUACUUUAUCCCUACAGCCUUUGCCACCUCAAGUUUUUUGAGAGGUAAAAUGUUAUUGCCACUCUGAAGGAACUGGAGCAGUCCAAACCAGGGAAUUUCUUUGAAGGAAGCACCUCAACACUACCUCCAUAGCCUUCUUUGAACAGGCAUCUGACAGCUCCCUGGCUGACAAGUGCGAGUCCGAUCUGGAGAAGGUGCUGGCUCCAGUAGCCUGAGGGUGACCCUGGUGAGAUAUGAUUGUGCAGCAAACUGUUACCUCCCUGCCUUUUCCUGAAGGAU